rnacentral:rRNA from 1 species
UACGGAGGAUGCAAGCGUUAUCCGGAAUGAUUGGGCGUAAAGCGUCCGCAGGUGGCUAUGUAAGUCUGCUGUUAAAGAGUGAGGCUCAACCUCAUAAGAGCAGUGGAAACUACAUGGCUAGAGUGCGUUCGGGGCAGAGGGAAUUCCUGGUGUAGCGGUGAAAUGCGUAGAGAUCAGGAAGAACACCGGUGGCGAAAGCGCUCUACUGGACGGUGACUGACACUCAGGGACGAAAGCUAGGGGAGCGAAUGGG